UUUAUGAUUCAAUUACAUUUGUUUACUUAUUAAAUUGUUUAUGAUUUUAUCAUAAUACACAAGACCAGGCUAAGAGAAGUAUCUAGUAUUAGAAAGCAGAAGAUGACCAAAAGCCAGCCUUUUCCUCUUCAUCAUAUGGGAUGUGUACAUGCAGACAAAAAUGGUGAUUGCACUAAUGUCUUCCUUCGCACAUGGUCUGACCUCUUGUAGCCAAAAGACCUAAAAGUCAGUUUUAUAUAAUUGCCAAAUGAUUUCAGUUCAAUGAAGGGACUUAUCAUGCAGAGACAUCCAUACACAGUUUUGGAGGGGGGCAUCACCUAUCCAUAGAUAAACAGCCUCAGUGUGUACUGCUGCAGUGCAUAUAAAUUAAAAUAUUGCAACUCCUCCCAGGUGGCCAACACCAAGGGCAGGGACAUGGCUGAUGGUGCCUACUCUAAUUAACAGUGUAUGCAGGGUAGCUGCAACACUACAGAUGUAGUUAGAAGGAAGACAAUUAGCUACAGCUUACUGAUAAACAGUGUAAAUGUGAGCGGGAGAUUGAGUCAGCAUGUGUGACACUUAGACUGGCAUAGCUUUUAACAUGACCAUAUGAUCCAGAGGGCAUGUUAACAGCUCUGGUUUCUAGCAUGAAUAAGUUUAGUUGUAAAGCAGCAGUUUUGUGAGCUUUCUGGGCAGAAAAGCCAGUGCAAAGCACAGGGCAGAGAGGAGACCAAUGUAGCCCAGCACAGCCCAGAAGCCCACUGCUGACCCCCACAUCACACUCUAGAAUGAUCUUGUCUUUGUAGUACUUCAUGUUCUUGUUGGGGAAAGGAGGGGAUAAUGUUAACCAGAGCACACAAAUUAGCACCUGUAUGAGAGUGAAUACAAGGACACUGAGCCUCUGCUGAGAAGGUCCAAACCAUUUCAUGACAUUACUGCCUGGGAGUGUAGCCCUGAAGGCCAUUAACACCACUAUUGUUUUCCCCAGAACACAAGAGAUGCAGAGGACAAAGGUGAUCCCAAACGCCGUGUGGCGCAGCAUACAGGACCAGUGAGAGGGUCGGCCGAUGAAAGGCAAACUUCUUAUUUGAAGGCAAAGACGCAUCAUACAGUCCAACUGUCUUAAACUUCAUGGUUCCUGCAUCAGUGAGGUGCCAGUUUACCAGUUCAUAUCUUGCUAUUGGAUCUCCAUUAAUGUCAAAGGACACCUGCUCACCAUAUUUGGUUGUGAAAUUUACCUUUUCCAGUGGUCUGAAUUGGGGUCCAUAGCUGCUGUUGAUGAUGGAGCGACCUACAUUGUCUUCCAGGAUAUUGUGCAGAGCAUGUGCAACUGCAUAAACUGCUGCAUAUACUUUGUUGGAUAUUCUAAGAUCAGAUACAUC